rnacentral:rRNA from 1 species
UACGUAGGGUGCGAGCGUUGUCCGGAAUUACUGGGCGUAAAGAGCUCGUAGGUGGUUUGUCGCGUUGUUCGUGAAAACUCACAGCUUAACUGUGGGCGUGCGGGCGAUACGGGCAGACUGGAGUACUGCAGGGGAGACUGGAAUUCCAGGUGUAGCGGUGGAAUGCGUAGAUAUCUGGAAGAACACCGGUGGCGAAGGCGGUGGUCUGGGCCUGAACUGACGCUGAGGAGCGAAAGCCAGGGGAGCAAACGGG